AGUGAACGCUGGCGGUAGGCCUAACACAUGCAAGUCGAACGGCAGCACAGUAAGAGCUUGCUCUUACGGGUGGCGAGUGGCGGACGGGUGAGGAAUACAUCGGAAUCUACUUUUUCGUGGGGGAUAACGUAGGGAAACUUACGCUAAUACCGCAUACGACCUACGGGUGAAAGCAGGGGAUCUUCGGACCUUGCGCGAUUGAAUGAGCCGAUGUCGGAUUAGCUAGUUGGCGGGGUAAAGGCCCACCAAGGCGACGAUCCGUAGCUGGUCUGAGAGGAUGAUCAGCCACACUGGAACUGAGACACGGUCCAGACUCCUACGGGAGGCAGCAGUGGGGAAUAUUGGACAAUGGGCGCAAGCCUGAUCCAGCAAUACCGCGUGGGUGAAGAAGGCCUUCGGGUUGUAAAGCCCUUUUGUUGGGAAAGAACAGCAGCAGGUUAAUACCCCGCUGUUCUGACGGUACCCAAAGAAUAAGCACCGGCUAACUUCGUG
rnacentral:rRNA from 1 species